rnacentral:rRNA from 1 species
AUUGAACGCUGGCGGAAUGCUUUACACAUGCAAGUCGAGCGGCAGCGCGGCCUUCGGGCUGGCGGCGAGCGGCGAACGGGUGAGUAAUGCAUCGGAACAUGCCCAGUCGUGGGGGAUAACACUUCGAAAGAAGUGCUAAUACCGCAUACGUCCUGAGGGGGAAAGCGGGGGAUCGCAAGACCUCGCGCGAUUGGAGUGGCCGAUGUCAGAUUAGCUAGUUGGUGGGGUAAAGGCCUACCAAGGCGACGAUCUGUAGCUGGUCUGAGAGGAUGAUCAGCCACACUGGGACUGAGACACGGCCCAGACUCCUACGGGAGGCAGCAGUGGGGAAUUUUGGACAAUGGGGGCAACCCUGAUCCAGCCAUUCCGCGUGAGUGAAGAAGGCCUUCGGGUUGUAAAGCUCUUUCGGCAGGAACGAAACGGUGGGCUCUAACAUAGUCCGCUAAUGACGGUACCUGAAGAGGAAGCACCGGCUAACUACGUG